rnacentral:rRNA from 1 species
GACGAACGCUGGCGGCGUGCUUAACACAUGCAAGUCGAACGGAAAGGCCCUGCUUUUGUGGGUUGCUCGAGUGGCGAACGGGUGAGUAACACGUGAGUAACCUGCCCUUGACUUUGUGAUAACUUCAGGAAACUGGGGCUAAUACCGGAUAGGAGCUCCUGCUGCAUGGUGGGGGUUGGAAAGUUUCGGCGGUUCUGUAUGUACUCGCGGCUUAUCAGCUUGUUUGUGGGGUAGUGGCUUACCAAGGCUUUGACGGGUAGCCGGCCUGAGAGGGUGACCGGCCACAUUGGGACUGAGAGACGGCCCAGACUGCUACGGGAGGCAGCAGUGGGGAAUAUUGAACAAUGGGCGGAAGCCUGAUGCAGCAACGCCGCGUGCGGGAUGACGGCCUUCGGGGUGUAAACCGCUUUCGCCUGUGACGAAGCGUGAGUGACGGUAAUGUGUAAAGAAGCACCGGCUAACUACGUG